AUGUCGCUCAGAAGACUCCACUGAGAGUCCUGCAUCGCCGGCCGCUGGCAGUCCGACAGAGACUCGUGCACUCCAUGACCACCAUUUACCUGGACAAACACCACUUCACCCUCAAGCUGUGCACACAGGCCGGCACUUACAUUAAAGAGUUUGUGCACGGAGACUUCGGCCGCACGAAACCCAACCUCUGUGACCUCAUGAAAACUGACGCUGAUAUUCUAGAGCUGGACGUCGAGUCUGUUGACAUCGACUGGCCUCCUGCUAUUCCGGAUUGACAUUUGGGAUUUUGAGAAUAGAUUUGUCAGGACUAUAUAUUUCUGUCACACAGUUCUUUGUUAGUUUGACUGUUAAUUGGUUGAAUUAAAGCAAAUGGCACUGAAUGCAUUUUCUUUAAUAAAACAGCCUAAUUUUGCUUUUUAA